rnacentral:rRNA from 1 species
UACGUAGGGUGCAGGCGUUUAAUCGGAAUUACUGGGCGUAAAGCGUGCGCAGGCGGUUGUGCAAGACAGAUGUGAAAUCCCCGGGCUUAACCUGGGAACUGCGUUUGAAACUACAAGGCUAGAGUGUGGCAGAGGGGGGUGGAAUUCCACGUGUAGCAGUGAAAUGCGUAGAGAUGUGGAGGAACACCGAUGGCGAAGGCAGCCCCCUGGGUCAAAACUGACGCUCAUGCACGAA